UACGUAGGGGGCAAGCGUUAUCCGGAUUUACUGGGUGUAAAGGGAGCGUAGGUGGCAAGGCAAGUCAGAUGUGAAAGCCCGGGGCUCAACCCCGGGACUGCAUUUGGAACUGUAUGGCUGGAGUGCUGGAGAGGCAAGCGGAAUUCCUAGUGUAGCGGUGAAAUGCGUAGAUAUUAGGAAGAACACCAGUGGCGAAGGCGGCUUGCUGGACAGUAACUGACGUUGAGGCUCGAAAGCGUGGGGAGCAAACAGG
rnacentral:rRNA from 1 species